rnacentral:rRNA from 1 species
CAGCAGCCGCGGGAAUACGAAGGGUGCAAGCGUUAAUCGGAAUUACUGGGCGUAAAGCGUGCGUAGGCGGUUUGUUAAGUCUGUUGUGAAAUCCCCGGGCUCAACCUGGGAAUGGCAAUGGAUACUGGCAAGCUAGAGUGUGUCAGAGGAUGGUGGAAUUCCCGGUGUAGCGGUGAAAUGCGUAGAGAUCGGGAGGAACAUCAGUGGCGAAGGCGGCCAUCUGGGGCAACACUGACGCUGAGGCACGAAAGCGUGGGGAGCAAACAGGAUUAGAUACCCCUGUAGUCCCUGUCUCUUAUAC